GGAUUCCACUCUCAGAGUCAGCUGUGACAUUCUGCAGAUAUAGGGAUAGUACAUAGAAACAGAAUAGACCUCCACCAAAAUUUGGUUUGGAUGUCAAGUCUGCAAUCUAGGCACACACCAAGAAGAUUUGCUUGAGAGAUGGAGUAACAUGCCGAUUAUCUGUGGCAGUGGGGAAAUGAAACUGUCACAUCAAUUACAAAAGCUGCUAAGUUGCCAGCAGGAAAAGCAUUGAUUCUCGGAGGAGAGUUGGUCAUCCACAGACUGAUAUGUUAUGAAAUUCCACCUGUCAGAAUUUAUGUGGAAACAGGAUCUGCCAAUCUCGCUUGUGGUUUUAUGUUCACGUAGAAUCUUCUGCAGAAACCCACUCUUCACGCUGUUAAUGACAAAAUCUAACACGUGUUAUUUUCCCCUGUCAAACUUUUCAUUCCCCUUAUGACCGUUCAACAGAUACCUCUAAACUCAAGUUUGAAGAUUUAAAGUUUAUGCUCUAUUUUUUCCAUCCUCCUGUAUCCCUCCCCUACAGAUAUUCAGAUUCCGUUAUCAAAUGGGUAUUCUGACCCUAGAUUUCGAUUCUAUUGAUCCACCUUUUCCUAGACAUGUUAAAGUUUCUGAGCUUUCUAUCUCUGUGUUCAAAAUCUCCUGUUGUCCUUUUCUUUUACAGCCCUGAAUAUGAUGUCCUAAGUGUCAUUCUUCUAAUAGUAGUUAAGUCUUUAUAAAGUUUUAAUGUCUUCAUCUUCCCAGGCUGUGAGCAACUUUUGUCCUAGAAUAUUGAAUCUAAUUAUGCGAGUAACAGGCUCAGAACAUUCAGACAGGAAAAUAUUUUUGAAAUAUACAUCUCUCAGCCUGGGUGGCUCAGUUGGUUAAUUGUCUGCCUUCGGCUCAGGUCAUGAUCUCAAGGUGCUGGGACUGAGCCUUGAGUCAGGAGCCAGGCUCCCUGCUGAACAGGGAGUCUGCUUCACCCUCUCCCUCUGCCCCUCCCCACUGCUGUACGCAAACUCUCUCUCUCAAACAAAUAAAUAAAAUC